rnacentral:rRNA from 1 species
UGGCGGACGGGUGAGUAAUGUCUGGGAAACUGCCUGAUGGAGGGGGAUAACUACUGGAAACGGUAGCUAAUACCGCAUAACGUCGCAAGACCAAAGAGGGGGACCUUCGGGCCUCUUGCCAUCGGAUGUGCCCAGAUGGGAUUAGCUAGUAGGUGGGGUAACGGCUCACCUAGGCGACGAUCCCUAGCUGGUCCGAGAGGAUGACCAGCCACACUGGAACUGAGACACGGUCCAGACUCCUACGGGAGGCAGCAUG